rnacentral:tRNA from 1 species
GCCGCGAUAGCUCAAUUGGUAGAGCAUCGUACGCCAAAUGCGAAGGUUGUGGGUUCGGUUCCCAGCUGCGGCA